AGGGAGCAUGAGAAGCGGCUACCACAUCUAAGGAAGGCAGCAGGCGCGUAAAUUACCCAAUCCUGACUCAGGGAGGUAGUGACAAGAAAUAACGGACCGAGGCCCUCGGGCUUCGGGAUUGCAAUGAGCCGAAUUUACACCCCUUAGCGAGGAUCGAUUGGAGGGCAAGUCUGGUGCCAGCAGCCGCGGUAAUUCCAGCUCCAAUAGCGUAUAUUAAAGUUGUUGCAGUUAAAAAGCUCGUAGUUGGAUUUCUGGGAGGGUGCCAAUGUCCGCCGACGUGCGUGCGCAGCGGCGCCCUUCCAUCCUUCUGUUAACGCCUCUUGGCAUUCAUUUGCUGGUGGCGGGCUCAGAUAUUUUACCUUGGGAAAAUUAGAGUGUUUCAGGCAGGCUAGGCCGGAAUACAUUAGCAUGGAAUAAUGGAAUAGGACUACGGUCUCUUUGUUGGUUUGAGGGACUGCAGUAAUGAUUAAUAGGGAUAGUUGGGGGCAUUAGUAUUUAAUUGUCAGAGGUGGAAUUCUCGGAUUUGUUAAAGACUAACUUAUGCGAAAGCAUUUGCCAAGGAUGUUUUCAUUAAUCAAGAACGAAAGUUAGGGGAUCAAAGACGAUCAGAUACCGUCCUAGUCUUAACCAUAAACUACGCCGACUCGGGAUCGGGGGCGCGAACUAUCCGCCUUCGGCACCG
rnacentral:rRNA from 1 species